AUUGAACGCUGGCGGCAUGCUUUACACAUGCAAGUCGAACGGUAACAGGCCGCAAGGUGCUGACGAGUGGCGAACGGGGGCGUAAUGCAUCGGAACGUGCCCAGUCGUGGGGGAUAACUACGCGAAAGAGUAGCUAAUACCGCAUACGAUCUAUGGAUGAAAGCGGGGGACCGUAAGGCCUCGCGCGAUUGUAGCGGCCGAUGUCAGAUUAGGUAGUUGGUGGGGUAAAGGCUCACCAAGCCAACGAUCUGUAGCUGGUCUGAGAGGACGACCAGCCACACUGGGACUGAGACACGGCCCAGACUCCUACGGGAGGCCGCAGUGGGGAAUUUUGGACAAUGGGCGCAAGCCUGAUCCAGCAAUGCCGCGUGCAGGAAGAAGGCCUUCGGGUUGUAAACUGCUUUUGUACGGAACGAAACGGCUCUGGUUAAUACCCGGGGCUAAUGACGGUACCGUAAGAAUAAGCACCGGCUAACUACGUG
rnacentral:rRNA from 1 species